rnacentral:rRNA from 1 species
AGAGUUUUGAUCCUGGCUUCAGGGUGAACGCUGGCGGCGUGCCUUAAGACAUGCAAGUCGAACGGGCCUGAUUUCGGUCAGGCUAGUGGCGGACGGGUGAGUAACACGUGGGUGAUCUACCCCAAAGUCUGGGACAACUAGGGGAAACCUUAGCUAAUCCCGGAUGGUGAGGCUUCUCCUGUGAAGUCUCUAAAGAUUUAUCGCUUUGGGAUGAGCCCGCGGCGCAUCAGCUAGUUGGUGGGGUAAUGGCCUACCAAGGCGACGACGCGUAGCUGGUCUGAGAGGACGACCAGCCACAGGAGCACUGAGACACGGGCUCCACUCCUACGGGAGGCAGCAGUUAGGAAUCUUCGUCAAUGGGCGAAAGCCUGAACGAGCGACGCCGCUUGAGGGACGAAGCCCUUCGGGGUGUAAACCUCUGAACAGGGGACGAUGAUGACGGUACCCUGCUAAUAGCACCGGCUAACUCCGUGCCAGCAGCCGCGGUAAUACGGAGGGUGCGAGCGUUACCCGGAUUUACUGGGCGUAAAGGGCGUGUAGGCGGUUUUCUAAGUCCGGGGCUAAAGACCAGGGCUCAACCCUGGGUUUGCCUUGGAUACUGGAAAGCUCGACGGCUGGAGGGGGCAGCGGAAUUUCCGGAGUAGCGGUGAAAUGCGCAGAUACCGGAAGGAACGCCAAUAGCGAAGGCAGCUGCCUGGACAGUACGUGACGCUGAGGCGCGAAAGCGUGGGGAGCAAACCGGAUUAGAUACCCGGGUAGUCCACGCCCUAAACGAUGAGUGCUGGGUGUCCGGCGUUUGCCGGGUGCCGAAGCUAACGCGUUAAGCACUCCGCCUGGGAAGUACGGUCGCAAGACUGAAACUCAAAGGAAUUGACGGGGGCCCGCACAAGCGGUGGAGCAUGUGGUUUAAUUCGAAGGAACGCGAAGAACCUUACCAGGCCUUGACAUCCUAGGAACCCUGAUGAAANGUCGGGGGGUGCCCGCAAGGGAACCUANAGACAGGUGCUGCAUGGCUGUCGUCAGCUCGUGUCGUGAGAUGUUGGGGUUAAGUCCCNC